GACCCAAACAUGGCGACGGAGAGCUGCGAAAAGUGCUGAAUUCUGUCUACAUUUCGACAAAAUCGCGAAGAUCACAAAGACGGUAAGAAGGAUAAAGCGGGCCGGAGCAUGUCUCUCACAGGUCCUGGACCAGUCAAAGUGAUGGAGUCGUUCUCAUGGGAGGAGUAUUUGAAAGAGACGUCGUCUGAUCCCGCUCCUCCCAGCUGCUUC